CAGAGUUUGAUCCUGGCUCAGAUUGAACGCUGGCGGCAGGCCUAACACAUGCAAGUCGAGCGGAUGAGAAGAGCUUGCUCUUCGAUUCAGCGGCGGACGGGUGAGUAAUACCUAGGAAUCUGCCUGGUAGUGGGGGACAACGUUUCGAAAGGAACGCUAAUACCGCAUACGCCCUACGGGGGAAAGCAGGGGACCUUCGGGCCUUGCGCUAUCAGAUGAGCCUAGGUCGGAUUAGCUAGUUGGUGAGGUAAUGGCUCACCAAGGCGACGAUCCGUAACUGGUCUGAGAGGAUGAUCAGUCACACUGGAACUGAGACACGGUCCAGACUCCUACGGGAGGCAGCAGUGGGGAAUAUUGGACAAUGGGCGAAAGCCUGAUCCAGCCAUGCCGCGUGUGUGAAGAAGGUCUUCGGAUUGUAAAGCACUUUAAGUUGGGAGGAAGGGCAUUAACCUAAUACGUUAGUGUUUUGACGUUACCGACAGAAUAAGCACCGGCUAACUCUGUGCCAGCAGCCGCGGUAAUACAGAGGGUGCAAGCGUUAAUCGGAAUUACUGGGCGUAAAGCGCGCGUAGGUGGUUCGUUAAGUUGGAUGUGAAAUCCCCGGGCUCAACCUGGGAACUGCAUCCAAAACUGGCGAGCUAGAGUAGGGCAGAGGGUGGUGGAAUUUCCUGUGUAGCGGUGAAAUGCGUAGAUAUAGGAAGGAACACCAGUGGCGAAGGCGACCACCUGGGCUCAUACUGACACUGAGGUGCGAAAGCGUGGGGAGCAAACAGGAUUAGAUACCCUGGUAGUCCACGCCGUAAACGAUGUCAACUAGCCGUUGGAAUCCUUGAGAUUUUAGUGGCGCAGCUAACGCAUUAAGUUGACCGCCUGGGGAGUACGGC
rnacentral:rRNA from 1 species